GUGUCAGCAGCCGCGGUAAAACGUAGGUGGCGAACGUUAUCCGGAUUUACUGGGCGUAAAGCGUGCGCAGGCGGCUUCUCAAGUCGGAUGUAAAAUCUCCUGGCUCAACUGGGAGGGACCAUCCGAUACUGUUUGGCUAGAGUGCAACAGAGGAGAGUGGAAUUCCCGGUGUAAUGGUGGAAUGUGUAGAUAUCGGGAGGAACACCAGUGGCGAAAGCGGCUCUCUGGGUUGUUACUGACGCUGAUGCACGAAAGCGUGGGGAGCAAACAGGAUUAGAUACCCUGGUAGUCCACGCUGUAAACUAUGGACACUGGGUACAGGGAGUAUCGACCCUCUCUGUGCCGAGGCUAACGCGUUAAGUGUCCCGUCUGGGGACUACGGCCGCAAGGUUAAAACUCAAAUGAAUUGACGGGG
rnacentral:rRNA from 1 species